rnacentral:rRNA from 1 species
UACGUAGGUGGCAAGCGUUGUCCGGAUUUAUUGGGUUUAAAGGGUGCGUAGGCGGCCCUGUAAGUCAGUGCUGAAAUAUCCCAGCUUAACUGGGAGGGUGGCAUUGAUACUGCGGGGCUAGAGUACAGAUGAGGUAGGCGGAAUUGUACGUGUAGCGGUGAAAUGCAUAGAUAUGACACAGAACACCGAUUGCGAAGGCAGCUUACUAAACUGAUACUGACACUGAGGCACGAAAGCGUGGGGAUCAAACAGG